UGCCAGACUCCUACGGGAGGCAGCAGUGGGGAAUAUUGCACAAUGGGGGAAACCCUGAUGCAGCGACGCCGCGUGAGCGAAGAAGUACCUCGGUAUGUAAAGCUCUAUCAGCAGGGAAGAAGAUGACGGUACCUGACCAAGAAGCUCCGGCUAAAUACGUGCCAGCAGCCGCGGUAAUACGUAUGGAGCAAGCGUUAUCCGGAUUUAUUGGGUUUAAAGGGAGCGUAGGCCGGCUUUUAAGUCAGCUGUGAAAGUCCGCGGCUCAACCGUGGAAUUGCAGUUGAAACUGGAGGCCUUGAGUGCACACAGGGAUGCCGGAAUUCAUGGUGUAGCGGUGAAAUGCUUAGAUAUCAUGAAGAACUCCGAUCGCGAAGGCAAGUGUCCGGGGUGCAACUGACGCUGAGGCUCGAAAGUGCGGGUAUCAAACAGGAUUAGAUACCCGAGUA
rnacentral:rRNA from 1 species